AAAGUCGUACCAAGGUUUCCGUAGGAACAAGUCCUUUCCGCUGGUAACACUUGCCGGAAGCCUUAGCAGCCUGAAAGGGUGCCCCUCGACGAACUUGAAAUAAAAUUAGAGGGUCUCAAAUGGNUAGUCCACUGUAUAUAAGGUGGGCAACCCCUGCCAAAUUGCGGGGAACCCCUAAAAGACCUGACACCAAGCGUCUGCUGGAAACAGCGGCGUGGCCGAGCUAAUAGCCCUGGGUAUGGUAAUAGUUCAAGGUAUGAGCCUGAGUGAUCGGGCGAAAUGGGCGAUCUGCAGCCCAAGUCUUAAGGUCUCUGUAGGCUAUGGAUGCUGUUCACAGGCCAAAUGGCAGUGGGUGGGAGUAUCAUCUCCUGCUUAAGAUAUGGUCGGUCCCCUUGUGAAAAGCUUGGGGGUAAGUUUUUCGGAUAAAUUGCUUUUGUGGUUCUCAGAAAUUCCGAGUACUUUUUACGUUCCGUAGGUGAACCUGCGGAAGGAU
rnacentral:rRNA from 1 species